rnacentral:sRNA from 1 species
UUUUUUUUUACUUUUUUUUCC